AACGUAGGUGGCGAGCGUUAUCCGGAUUUACUGGGCGUAAAGGGUGUGCAGGCGGGCUGUUAAGUGGUGUAUGAAAUAUCCCGGCUCAACCGGGAGAGGUUAUGCCAGACUGGCAGUCUAGAGAGCGAGAGAGGGACGUGGAAUUCCGGGUGUAGUGGUGAAAUGCGUAGAGAUCCGGAGGAACCCCAGAGGCGAAGGCGGCGUCCUGGCUCGGCAUCUGACGCUCAGACACGACAGCAUGGGGAGCGAACGGG
rnacentral:rRNA from 1 species